GAUGAACGCUGGCGGCGUGCCUAAUACAUGCAAGUCGAGCGAACGGACGAGAAGCUUGCUUCUCUGAUGUUAGCGGCGGACGGGUGAGUAACACGUGGAUAACCUACCUAUAAGACUGGGAUAACUUCGGGAAACCGGAGCUAAUACCGGAUGAUAUUUUGAACCGCAUGGUUCAAAAGUGAAAGACGGUCUUGCUGUCACUUAUAGAUGGAUCCGCGCUGCAUUAGCUAGUUGGUAAGGUAACGGCUUACCAAGGCAACGAUGCAUAGCCGACCUGAGAGGGUGAUCGGCCACACUGGAACUGAGACACGGUCCAGACUCCUACGGGAGGCGGCAGUAGGGAAUCGUACGCAAUGGGCGAAAGCCUGACGGAGCAACGCCGCGUGAGUGAUGAAGGUCUUCGGAUCGUAAAACUCUGUUAUUAGGGAAGAACAUAUGUGUAAGUAACUGUGCACAUCUUGACGGUACCUAAUCAGAAAGCCACGGCUAACUACGUG
rnacentral:rRNA from 1 species